CCCGUUCGCACUCACCGCCCGUACACGAUCACCCGAGUACUGGUCGCUCCCCGAAACGUCGACGUGGGCCGAAACCCGUAAGGGACCGGAAGGGCGCCGGAAGGAGUGCCCGGUGUAGGGGGUG
rnacentral:rRNA from 1 species